rnacentral:siRNA from 1 species
UAGGGUUCUUUGAUUUUCUUUUGC